rnacentral:tRNA from 1 species
AAUUUAAUAGUUUAAUAAAAACAAUGAUUUUGUAAAUCAAAAAUAGAUACUCUUUAAAUUA